AUUGAACGCUGGCGGCAGGCCUAACACAUGCAAGUCGAACGAGUGGCGGACGGGUGAGUAAUGUCUGGGAAAAUGCCUGAAGGAGGGGGAUAACUACUGUAAACGGUAGCUAUUACCGCAUACCAUCAGAUGUGUCCAGAUGGGAUUAGCUAGUUGGUUGGGUAACGGCUCACCACGGCGACGAUCCCUAGCUGGUCUGAGAGGAGGAGCAGCCACACUGGAACUGAGACACGGUCCAGACUCCUACGGGAGGCAGCAGUGGGGAAUAUUGCACAAUGGGCGAAAGCCUGAUGCAGCCAUGCCGCGUGUAUGAAGAAGGCCUUCGGGUUGUAAAGUACUUUCAGCGGGGAGGCGUUACCCGCAGAAGAAGCACCGGCUAACUCCGUGCCAGCAGCCGCGGUAAUUC
rnacentral:rRNA from 1 species